CUUGAACCACAUUUCAGGUUAUCGAGUAUAUUCAAUUCUUACAGGAGAAAGCAAAUAAGUAUGAGACCCCUUACCAAGGAUGGAAUCACGAACCUGCGAAGCUAUUGAAUUGGCAGAGAAACAAUUAACAGCUAGUACCUGAAGGAACCGUUGCUUUUGCUCCUAAGUUGGAAGAAGAGAAGAACAACAUUCCGGUUCCAGCCCUUGCAACAGAACAAGGCGGUGCUAUUGAUCUAUCAGAAACAUUGAACCGAGCAAUGCCAACGACCACUCCAUUUCCUUUGUCACUUCAAAGCGCGCAACAGUUUAUUCUCUCCUGUAAUUGCGGGUAACCCCGUAACUCAGUUCCACACAAGAGACGCAUCAUCAGAAACCGUAGAGCCAAGCCCGAGUUCUCGGAGUCUGACUCAGCCAUUGAAAGAAGAAGGAGAAGAAGAUGAUGACGAAGUUCAUGAGGGUAACAUCAGUAUAUCAAGUGUUUAAUCACAAGGGUUAGUGAAAACACUAAGAUAAGCACUGGAGAAUUCAGGAGUGGACUUGACGAAAGCAAGCAUCUCCGUCGAAAUCGUCACUUCUAUCGUUUAUACAAAACUCCAAGUAAUCAUCACUAAUGAUCUCCACUAUAACGCCUUGAUUUCACUUCUAUCAAAAGCACAACCCGUUUCAACUAA